rnacentral:lncRNA from 7 species
CACAAAAGUAAAAUAGCUACGACGACCGGACGACGGCAAUCAGCUUGUGCUGCUGGACUCCAUUAAUUAAUAAUAAGCUUGUUCUGUUACUCCAUCACUCUCCUAGCUAUGUGCGGCGGCAAGAUGGCAAUUUUAAACUGGUUUGUACCGUAUAUAUCGUACUAUGCAUCUUUGUUUUUUUUAAAAAAGUGAUCCAUCAGUGCAUGCUGCCACUUUACUUAUAUAUAGUCUCAAGCAGGUUCUCGUACGCCAUCUGGUAAUAAAGACUAGUAUUAUCUAUGCCUUGACAGCUGAUCGUACAUAGCAUAAUACAAUCCACACAGAACAUUUGAUCCAUGCUCUUUCGGUGAAGGUGAAACAUAACUUGUGCAGUACUACAAC